UACGGAAGGCAGCAGGGGGGAAUAUUGCACAAUGGGCGCAAGCCUGAUGCAGCCAUGCCGCGUGUAUGAAAAAGGCCUUCGGGUUGUAAAGUACUUUCAGUCGUGAGGAAGGUGUUAAGGUUAAUAACCUUAGCAAUUGACGUUAGCGACAGAAGAAGCACCGGCUAACUCCGUGCCAGCAGCCGCGGUAAUACGGAGGGUGCGAGCGUUAAUCGGAAUUACUGGGCGUAAAGGGCACGCAGGCGGUUAAUUAAGUUGGAUGUGAAAUCCCCGGGCUUAACCUGGGAAUGGCAUUCAAGACUGGUUAGCUAGAGUCUUGUAGAGGGGGGUUAGAAUUCCAUGUGUAGCGGUGAAAUGCGUAGAGAUGUGGAGGAAUACCGGUGGCGAAGGCGGCCCCUGGACAAAGACUGACGCUCAUGUGCGAAAGCGUGGGGAGCAAACGAGGGAUUAGAUACCCG
rnacentral:rRNA from 1 species